ensembl:lncRNA
UAUAUAUAUAAAACUAUUUUGGAUAAAUAUUAUAUCAAAAUGUAAUGUUUAAACUAAACCAUAAAUAUAAUUUUGGGCUGGGGGGUGUGUGGGAACUAGAGUAUUUUUGUUCCGAGUUGGUUCAAUUUAUCUUUUAUUUUUCAUUGUGCGUAAUUGUAAUCGCUGCUAACACUCAUAUUUAAGUUGAUCUCAUAUUACUUAUUAACACUUUUAACAUCUCAUUACAGCAUUUAAAUUUUCUGUAUUGUAUGAACUGCUUUUGCCUGUUUGUAUGUUUCUGCUAUCGUCUGCUUAUCUGCUUCUUUCUCUGUCCAUCUCUGUCCCUUUAUUUGCUCUCCACUCGUCCUUCCAUCCCUUUCUGUAUCUUUCUCUGUCUCUCUCAGAAGUGUCAGACUACACUCAUCCUCCAGCUGCUCCACAAUCACUCAUCUCUCCACAGCUUCCACCUUCAGUUCCCAUCCGCCAGCUAAAAGCCGCAGUCACCAUCAGUUCUGCUGCCCUUCCAGGCUGGGCAGACCCGAGCCACCCUCCAGCAGGUGCUCAGAGCGGGCCAGCAGUUUACCAAACACACUGCCCCUCACCCUUUGACCUUUGACCUGUUGCACUCAUCCAAACGGCUGCCCUCACCUGGUGUGUCACAUCUUGUGUCUAUCGUGUCCUUCCUCUUGCCCUCGCUGUGAAGUGCUGAGAGAAGGACACUUCAGAGACUGCGGAGGAGGAAGUGAUCACUUUAGCUCUGUCAGAGAAGAUGCUAGAUGAGGCUUGUCAGACAGACGCUUGAGGAAGUGAGAGGUACCAAUUAAUGUCUUACACUUUGAUGGAUGCCUGUCAUAUACAGUUGCUACAACUUUCACGUCGUCCCCCAUCAAUUCUUCCUUUAUUUCUCUGUCCUUAUCCACAAGCCUCCCUCAUUCUGUCUCUCUCUUCCUCCAGCGCCUCACUAACUUUGUGUAAACGCAGGAUCAAACAUAGCUGGCUCAGUUUAAGCCUCACAGAACAGCCAUGAUUGAGAGAGAGAGAGUAAAAGAAGAGUGUGUGAACUUGAUCUGUCGCUCUCUAUCCUCUUUCCCUUAACUGUGCCAUUUAAAGCCUCGUGCGCACGUCUGCUGGCAGAAUGCCUCCCAAAAUAAAAGCAACCUCAUUACUUUAGACUCUGACA